CCUACGGGAGGCAGCAGUGAGGAAUAUUGGUCAAUGGGCGGAAGCCUGAACCAGCCAAGUCGCGUGAGGGAAUAAGGCCCUACGGGUCGUAAACCUCUUUUGCCGGGGAGCAAGGGCGGGGACGUGUCCCGGCCCGGAGAGUACCCGGAGAAAAAGCAUCGGCUAACUCCGUGCCAUCAGCCGCGGUAAUACGGAGGAUGCGAGCGUUAUCCGGAUUUAUUGGGUUUAAAGGGUGCGUAGGCGGGCUGUUAAGGCAGCGGGAAAAAUUCGGGGCUCAACCCCGUCCGGCCGUUGAAACUGGGGGCCUUGAGUGGGCGAGAAGAAGGCGGAAUGCGUGGUGUAGCGGUGAAAUGCAUAGAUAUCACGCAGAACCCCGAUUGCGAAGGCAGCCUUCCGGCGCCCUACUGACGCUGAGGCACGAAAGUGCGGGGAUCGAACAGGAUUAGAUACCCGAGUAGUC
rnacentral:rRNA from 1 species